rnacentral:rRNA from 1 species
CACGUAGGGUGCGAGCGUUGUCCGGAAUUAUUGGGCGUAAAGAGCUCGUAGGCGGUGUGUCGCGUCGGCCGUGAAAACCUGCAGCUUAACUGUGGGCUUGCGGUCGAUACGGGCAUCACUGGAGUUCGGCAGGGGAGACUGGAAUUCCCGGUGUAGAGGUGAAAUUCGUAGAUAUCGGGAGGAACACCAGUGGCGAAAGCGGCUCUCUGGGCAAUGACCGACGCUGAGGCGCGAAGGCGUGGGAAGCAAACAGG